AGAGAGUGAGGUUAUAUGUAGGAGAGGCUAUAAUGAUGGCGUGCAGAAAACAAGAAGAGAGGAGACAGAGAGAGACGCAGAAGCACAUCCUGAUGCCUUCAUCUCUCCGCCCUGCUGCAUAUGGAGAAACCUCACAAAGUCCAACUCACCAGUUAUUUAAGUCUCAAUCUGAGCUAUAAAAAGCCAGAAAAAAUGCCUUUCCUUACCAUGUAUCCCAGCAAUGCCAAACUCAGAAGUUAUGAUCUGGUAGAACUGCAACACAUGCAUACCAGC